GGGGUUGUAGCUCAGUGGUAGAGUGCUUGCUUCACAUGCGUGAGGCACUGGGUUCUAUCCUCAGCACCA
rnacentral:tRNA from 1 species